rnacentral:misc_RNA from 1 species
AACGGUCUAUACCUGCGGUACCUGCGGAAGGAUCAUUAGUGAACGCCCUCGCGGGCUUAUAACUAUUCCAAACCUCUGUGAACCGUGCCCUUCGGGGCUAUUUUACAAACAUGGUGUAAUGAACGUCAUAUAUCAUAACAAAACAAAACUUUCAGCAAUGGAUCUCU